rnacentral:lncRNA from 1 species
AUCCCUUUAAAUAAACAUGUUUGUGCAGCCACAAACAUCUCCAUUGAGCCACACACUCUCCCAAAAUUCGUCAAAACCCAUCCACAACCUCAGAAACCAGUCCUCCUCCAUCUCUGCCGAUUUCCACCACCAUUCUUCAUCUCCACACCUUCCACACAACACCCAUACACUACCCCCAAGCCUUGCCGUGCCCCUACACCAUCCAUAAUCCAUUCUACAUCACAAAAACCCCCCAGAAAUCAUCCUCCCCCAAUCUGCCGCAAGGAGAAGAGAAGGAGACAGUUCAUGAAAAUUGUU